AUUGGACGCUGGCGGCAGGCCUAACACAUGCAAGUCGAGCGGAUGACGGGAGCUUGCUCCUGGAUUCAGCGGCGGACGGGUGAGUAAUGCCUAGGAAUCUGCCUGGUAGUGGGGGACAACGUUUCGAAAGGAACGCUAAUACCGCAUACGUCCUACGGGAGAAAGAAGGGGACCUUCGGGCCUUGCGCUCUCAGCUGAGCCUAGGUCGGAUUAGCUAGUUGGUGAGGUAAUGGCUCACCAAGGCUACGAUCCGUAACUGGUCUGAGAGGAUGAUCAGUCACACUGGAACUGAGACACGGUCCAGAUUCCUACGGGAGGCAGCAGUGGGGAAUAUUGGACAAUGGGCGAAAGCCUGAUCCAGCCAUGCCGCGUGUGUGAAGAAGGUCUUCGGAUUGUAAAGCACUUUAAGUUGGGAGGAAGGGCAGUAAGCGAAUACCUUGCUGUUUUGACGUUACCGACAGAAUAAGCACCGGCUAACUCUGUGCCAGCCGCCGCAGUAACAC
rnacentral:rRNA from 1 species